rnacentral:rRNA from 1 species
AACCUCCGCAAUGUGAGAAAUCGCGACGGGGGGAUCCCAAGUGCCAUUCUUAACGGGAUGGCUUUUCUUAAGUGUAAAAAGCUUUUGGAAUAAGAGCUGGGCAAGACCGGUGCCAGCCGCCGCGGUAACACCGGCAGCUCUAGUGGUAGCUGUUUUUAUUGGGCCUAAAGCGUUCGUAGCCGGUUUGAUAAGUCACUGGUGAAAUCUUGUAGCUUAACUGUGAGAAUUGCUGGUGAUACUGUUGAACUUGAGGUCGGGAGAGGUUAGCGGUACUCCCAGGGUAGAGGUGAAAUUCUGUAAUCCUGGGAGGACCGCCUGUUGCGAAGGCGUCUAACUGGAACGGUUCUGACGGUGAGGGACGAAAGUUAGGGCGCGAACCGGAUUAGAUACCCGGGUAGUCCUAACUGUAAACGAUGCGGACUUGGUGUUGGGGUGGCUUUGAGCUGCUCCAGUGCCGAAGGGAGCUGUUAAGUCCGCCGCCUGGGAAGUACGGUCGCAAGACUGAAACUUAAAGGAAUU